CUUUGAUACAUGAUCAGUAUCAGGACGAACUACAGCUGGACAUAAAUGAAAGACAAACAGACGUGUGUUUCUUCGGUGACCGGAUGAGCCAGGUCCGCACACCUCCUUCAGACUUUCACCGUUUGGCAAGGACUUCAGAAACUGAUUAACAGAACCUCCAGGAUGCUUCAUGUGAAAGACAGACAGGCCUUUAACUUUCAGUUUGGUGUCUUCACUGGUUUUGCCUGCUGUCAUCCUGAUCCCCUCAUGCAGAGGACAGUCGCAGGUGAUUUGUUCACCUCAGCCAAUCAUAGCCCUGGCUAGUGAUGAUGUUGUGUUUUCAUGUCACCUUGAACCUCCUAUCAGUGCCGGUUCCAGGACAGCGGAGUGGACCAGACCUGGUUUGGACCCAGAGUACAUCCAUGUCCACCAAGAUGGACGACUGUUGCAUGAU